rnacentral:rRNA from 1 species
CCUACGGGUGGCAGCAGUGGGGGAUAUUGCACAAUGGGGGAAACCCUGAUGCAGCGACACCGCGUGAGUGAAGAAGUAUUUCGGUAUGUAAAGCUCUAUCAGCAGGGAAGAAAAUGACCGUACCUGACCAAGAAGCCCCGGCUAACUACGUGCCAGCAGCCGCGGUAAUACGUAGGGGGCAAGCGUUAUCCGGAUUUACUGGGUGUAAAGGGAGCGUAGACGGCUGUGUAAGUCUGAAGUGAAAGCCCGGGGCGUAACCCCGGAACUGCUUUGGAAACUGUGUAGCUAGAGUGCAGGAGAGGUAGGUGGAAUUCCUGGUGUAGCGGUGAAAUGCGUAGAUAUUAGGAGGAACACCAGCGGCGAAGGCGGCCUGCUGGACUGAAACUGACGUUGAGGCUCGAAAGCGUGGGGAGCAAACAGGAUUAGAUACCCUUGUAGUC